UACGGAGGGGGCGAGCGUUAUUCGGAAUUAUUGGGCGUAAAGGGCGCGUAGGCGGCUUGGCAAGUGGAUGGUGAAAUCCCUCGGCUUAACCGAGGAACUGCCGUCCAAACUGCUUCGCUUGAGACCGGGAGAGGUGAGUGGAAUUCCCAGUGUAGCGGUGAAAUGCGUAGAUAUUGGGAGGAACACCAGUGGCGAAGGCGGCUCACUGGACCGGUACUGACGCUGAUGCGCGAAAGCGUGGGGAGCAAACAGG
rnacentral:rRNA from 1 species